rnacentral:rRNA from 1 species
AAACUUUUAACAACGGAUCUCUUGGUUCUGGCAUCGAUGAAGAACGCAGCGAAAUGCGAUAAGUAAUGUGAAUUGCAGAAUUCAGUGAAUCAUCGAAUCUUUGAACGCACAUUGCGCCCCCUGGGAUUCCGGGGGGUUUGCCUGUGCGAGC